rnacentral:lncRNA from 15 species
UGAAGAAUUUCAUCGGAUCACGAGCAAAGACCCCCUGGGGACUUUCAAUGCAUCCCUUGACAAAUUUGGGCCUGGCCUGCUGAAAAUCUACAGGUCUAAGAAAGGAGCUUUUGGUCAGGAGAUGGAGGACCUCUUUGAUCAAUUUGAUGAUCAGACAUCCGACAUUGUGUCCCACCGGAAAACAGCAGCACUGAGAGGCCUGCCUAUCUACCUCCGCGAAGAUGCAACCAAGUUUUUCCUGAAGUGCUUGGACACCGACACUUUGGGAAUAAUCAUUAUUUACAUGUUCAGUAAGCCUAGUGUUGAUGUCAAAUACUCAGCAUGGAGGAAGAUUCACCCCAAAUGUUAUUAGAAUAUAGAGCAGUAUGCAU